GAUGAACGAUGGCGGCGUGCCUAAUACAUGCAAGUCGAGCGAACGGACGAGAAGCUUGCUUCUCUGAUGUUAGCGGCGGACGGGUGAGUAACACGUGGAUAACCUACCUAUAAGACUGGGAUAACUUCGGGAAACCGGAGCUAUACCGGAUAAUAUUUUGAACCGCAUGGUUCAAAAGUGAAAGACGGUCUUGCUGUCACUUAUAGAUGGAUCCGCGCUGCAUUAGCUAGUUGGUAAGGUAACGGCUUACCAAGGCAACGAUGCAUAGCCGACCUGAGAGGGUGAUCGGCCACACUGGAACUGAGACACGGUCCAGACUCCUACGGGAGGCAGCAGUAGGGAAUCUUCCGCAAUGGGCGAAAGCCUGACGGAGCAACGCCGCGUGAGUGAUGAAGGUCUUCGGAUCGUAAAACUCUGUUAUUAGGGAAGAACAUAUGUGUAAGUAACUGUGCACAUCUUGACGGUACCUAAUCAGAAAGCCACGGCUAACUACGUG
rnacentral:rRNA from 1 species